AUUGAAUAUUUAUUCGCCAAACUGAAGGAAGUAUGCGUCGUUGGGUAUUUAAAGAAGUGCAGAUCAUAAAAAUAAUCUAUCUCUUUAUUGAAGCCGGCUUACCUCGUUUUUGGAAUUUAUUUAUGGCAUAUUAUGGCACACUAUGGCAUUUUGUCAAGCAAAUUCAUUUUACGUCUUGAAUUGCAAGGCUGAACAUGAUCGAUUGAACGCUAAGGGCAAGAAAGAUUUUGUAAAAUGGUGUCUUAUACGAAUAUGAUUGAAAUUUUCGUAAUAAAAACAAAUGUUUUCAAACAUGAAACCAUAAUUUUAUUUAUUGAUCAUGAGUAUAUGAUGAAUAUUGUCCAGGAAGUCCCGUUGAUGGUACUGUAGGAUUGAUACAAUUUACAAUUGUACACAUUAACGUGAACUUGUCACAAAUAUUAACCAAGAUCAACGGUGAUAUUUAGGCUCUUAGGUGAGAUUUAGAGAGAGAGAGA